rnacentral:rRNA from 1 species
ACGAGAGAGAGGGAGCUUGCUUCCUUGAUCGAGUGGCGAACGGGUGAGUAACGCGUGAGGAACCUGCCUCAAAGAGGGGGACAACAGUUGGAAACGACUGCUAAUACCGCAUAAGCCCACGGCUCGGCAUCGAGCAGAGGGAAAAGGAGCAAUCCGCUUUGAGAUGGCCUCGCGUCCGAUUAGCUAGUUGGUGAGGUAACGGCCCACCAAGGCGACGAUCGGUAGCCGGACUGAGAGGUUGAACGGCCACAUUGGGACUGAGACACGGCCCAGACUCCUACGGGAGGCAGCAGUGGGGAAUAUUGCACAAUGGGGGAAACCCUGAUGCAGCGACGCCGCGUGGAGGAAGAAGGUCUUCGGAUUGUAAACUCCUGUUGUUGAGGAAGAUAAUGACGGUACUCAACAAGGAAGUGACGGCUAACUACGUGCCAGCAGCCGCGGUAAAACGUAGGUCACAAGCGUUGUCCGGAAUUACUGGGUGUAAAGGGAGCGCAGGCGGGCGAUCAAGUUGGAAGUGAAAUCCAUGGGCUCAACCCAUGGACUGCUUUCAAAACUGAUUGUCUUGAGUAGUGCAGAGGUAGGCGGAAUUCCCGGUGUAGCGGUGGAAUGCGUAGAUAUCGGGAGGAACACCAGUGGCGAAGGCGGCCUACUGGGCACCAACUGACGCUGA